rnacentral:pre_miRNA from 1 species
UGCGCUAGUCACUGAAAUUACCCAAACACUGGCACUAACUUGACAUUUUCAGAUACAGUAAGUGCUACUUGUUGGGGUAAUUUUAUUGACCUUGAAAAAGUG